rnacentral:rRNA from 1 species
AUAGUAGUGUCAGAGUUUGAUCCUGGCUCAGGAUGAACGCUGGCGGCGUGCUUAACACAUGCAAGUCGAACGGACUUGUAUAUCGGAAGUUUUCGGAUGGAAGAUAUAUAAGUUAGUGGCGGACGGGUGAGUAACGCGUGGGUAACCUGCCCUAUACCGGGGGAUAACACUUAGAAAUAGGUGCUAAUACCGCAUAAGCGCACGAGGUCGCAUGACCCAGUGUGAAAAACUCCGGUGGUAUAGGAUGGACCCGCGUCCGAUUAGCCAGUUGGCGGGGUAGAGGCCCACCAAAGCAACGAUCGGUAGCCGGCCUGAGAGGGUGACCGGCCACAUUGGGACUGAGACACGGCCCAA